rnacentral:rRNA from 1 species
GACGAACGCUGGCGGCGUGCUUAACACAUGCAAGUCGAACGGUAAGGCCCUUCGGGGUACACGAGUGGCGAACGGGUGAGUAACACGUGGGUGAUCUGCCCUGCACUUCGGGAUAAGCCUGGGAAACUGGGUCUAAUACCGGAUAGGACUCCGGACUGCAUGGUCUGGGGUGGAAAGCUUUUGCGGUGUGGGAUGGGCCCGCGGCCUAUCAGCUUGUUGGUGGGGUGAUGGCCUACCAGGGCGACGACGGGUAGCCGGCCUGGGAGGGUGACCGGCCACACUGGGACUGAGAUACGGCCCAGAGUCCUACGGGAGGCAGCAGUGGGGAAUAUUGCACAAUGGGCGCAAGCCUGAUGCAGCGAGGCCGCGUGAGGGAUGACGGCCUUCGGGUUGUAAACCGCUUUCAGCAUCGACGAAGCGAAAGUGACGGUAGGUGCAGAAGAAGGACCGGCCAACUACGUGCCAGCAGCCGCAGUAA